rnacentral:rRNA from 1 species
UUGAUCCUGGCUCCGGAUGAACGCUGGCGGCGUGCCUGACACAUGCAAGUCGAGCGAUAAGGCUCCCUUCGGGGAGUACAUCAGCGGGGAACGGGUGAGUAACACGUAGGUGACCUGCCGCGAAGACGGGGAUAACUUCUGGAAACAGACGCUAAUACUCGAUGCACUCAAUAGUUCGUUCUAUUGAGUACAGCUUAGGCGCUUUGGGAUGGGCCUGCGGUCCAUCAGCUAGUUAGUAGGGUAAUGGCCUACCAAUGCGAAAACGGAUAGGGGGCGUGAGAGCGCGACCCCCCACACUGGCACUGAGACACGGGCCAGACUCCUACGGGAGGCAGCAGUGAGGGAUAUUGCGCAAUGGACGGAAGUCUGACGCAGCGACGCCGCGUGGGUGAUGAAGGCCUUCGGGUUGUAAAUGCCCUUUGAUGGGGGAACAGAAAGGACGGUACCCCAUGAAUAAGCCCCGGCUAACUACGUGCCAGCAGCCGCGGUAGAACGUACGGGGCAAGCGUUAUCCGGAUUUACUGGGCGUAAAGAGCGUAGAGGCGGUUCUGCUAGUUGGGCGUGAAAGCCCCGGGCUCAACCCGGGGAUGUCGUUCAAUACUGCAGGGCUUGAGGGCCGCAGACGGAGGUGCAAUACCCGGUGUAGCGGUGAAAUGCGUAGAUAUCGGGAGGAACACCAGUGGCGAAGGCGGACUCCUGGGCUGUUCCUGACGCUGAAGGCGAAAGCUAGGGUAGCGAA